rnacentral:rRNA from 1 species
CCAGAGAACUUAGCAGAGAUGCUUUGGUGCCUUCGGGAACUCUGAGACAGGUGCUGCAUGGCUGUCGUCAGCUCGUGUUGUGAAAUGUUGGGUUAAGUCCCGCAACGAGCGCAACCCUUAUCCUUUGUUGCCAGCGGUCCGGCCGGGAACUCAAAGGAGACUGCCAGUGAUAAACUGGAGGAAGGUGGGAUGACGUCAAGUCAUCAUGGCCCUUACGAGUAGGGCUACACACGUGCUACAAUGGCGCAUACAAAGAGAAGCGACCUCGCGAGAGCAAGCGGACCUCAUAAAGUGCGUCGUAGUCCGGAUUGGAGUCUGCAACUCGACUCCAUGAAGUCGGAAUCGCUAGUAAUCGUAGAUCAGAAUGCUACGGUGAAUACGUUCCCGGGCCUUGUACACACCGCCCGUCACACCAUGGGAGUGGGUUGCAAAAGAAGUAGGUAGCUUAACCUUCGGGAGGGCGCUUACCACUUUGUGAUUCAUGACUGGGGUGAAGUCGUAACAAGGUAGGCGUAGACGU